GGACUUUCUGUAAAUCUCCAAUAUAUAUGUAACUAAUCAUGGAAGACCUGUGAGAUUCUAUUUCUGUUAGUGUGUUGCUCCUUCAGAAUUAGCUACAUCACUGAUAUGUCCGUUUGGUUACAGUUUGGAAAUUAACUACGGCAAAGAAACUCAACAUGGGGCCAAGUGGCGAAGCUCACUCCACAGCUUUUGUUUCUGUACGACAGCUGUGAUAUAACCUACCGUAUGAGAAGGUAACAUUAUCAUCCUAAGCAGGACCGGUCGAGAACGCUCCACGAGCCUCUGUUUUGGGUCGGUAGCUGCGAUAUAACCUACCAGAUGAGAAGAUUAGGUUAUCUCCUUGGCAAAUGGUGGGCCUGAUACUUUGGUGCUUGCCUAACAACCAGUGGAAAUGACUAAGGGAGGCUUGCAUGUGGUUUGACCCUGACCGGCUCGCGGAUGGGGACGGUCUCAUGAUGGUACGCAGCCUGAGUUAAACUUAUUCAUCUGUGGAGGGAUUUUCCGGCAUUUACUGGCACCAUCCAGAGCAAGCACAUGCAGAUUAGCGAAGUCUUGCCGACCCCUCUUUCCUUUGCACUUGGAAGGAAGCUGAAGGAAGCCAUUGAUGCGAAGCACCAACACGCAUAACUUAGUCUGCGAGAAGCUUCUCUAGAUGAGCAGCGCAUACUGAGGGGCAGCAGAGUGUGAUGCGGAUCAGGGGAUGCAGUGUGGAGACUGAUUUACUGCCCGAAGUCGGUGUUCUCAUAAUGGCUUCGUGAUUUUAGUCCAACAUCAACAGUCGAAACAAUAAUGUCAGUGGUUUCAUGACAGCUGCCCUACAAUUUCUACAGACAAAUUUGUUACUCCCUCGGAUCCAAAUUUAGUGACUCCACUUUAUCUAGAUUUGAAUGUAUCAAUUUAACAAACAUAUCUAGGUACAUUCGUAUCUAGAUAAAGUGAAAUCAAUUAAUUUGGAUCGAAGGGAGUACGUCAAACUUGAAUUGGCAAUCGGCAGUGCCAACCGCCUA